rnacentral:rRNA from 1 species
UACGUAGGUGGCGAGCGUUAUCCGGAAUUAUUGGGCGUAAAGAGCGCGCAGGUGGUUGAUUAAGUCUGAUGUGAAAGCCCACGGCUUAACCGUGGAGGGUCAUUGGAAACUGGUCGACUUGAGUGCAGAAGAGGGAAGUGGAAUUCCAUGUGUAGCGGUGAAAUGCGUAGAGAUAUGGAGUAACACCAGUGGCGAAGGCGGCUUCCUGGUCUGUAACUGACACUGAGGCGCGAAAGCGUGUGGAGCAAACAGGAUUAGA